rnacentral:rRNA from 1 species
UGCCAGCAGCCGCGGUAAUACGGAGGGGGCGAGCGUUGCUCGGAUUUACUGGGCGUAAAGCGACCGCAGGCGGUUUGUUAAGUCAGAUGUGAAAUCCCGGUGCUCAACGCCGGAACUGCAUUUGAAACUGGCAAACUAGAGUCAUAGAGAGGAGGACAGAAUUUCCAGUGUAGAGGUGAAAUUCGUAGAUAUUGGAAGGAAUACCGAUUGCGAAGGCAGUUCUCUGGCUAUGUACUGACGCUCAGGGUCGAAAGCGUGGGUAGCAAACAGGAUUAGAUA